GAUGAACGCUGGCGGCGUGCCUAAUACAUGCAAGUCGAGCGAACAGACGAGGAGCUUGCUCCUCUGACGUUAGCGGCGGACGGGUGAGUAACACGUGGAUAACCUACCUAUAAUACUGGGAUAACUUCGGGAAACCGGAGCUAAUACCGGAUAAUAUAUUGAACCGCAUGGUUCAAUAGUGAAAGACGGUUUUGCUGUCACUUAUAGAUGGAUCCGCGCCGGAUUAGCUAGUUGGUAAGGUAACGGCUUACCAAGGCAACGAUGCGUAGCCGACCUGAGAGGGUGAUCGGCCACACUGGAACUGAGACACGGUCCAGACUCCUACGGGAGGCAGCAGUAGGGAAUCUUCCGCAAUGGGCGAAAGCCUGACGGAGCAACGCCGCGUGAGUGAUGAAGGUCUUCGGAUCGUAAAACUCUGUUAUUAGGGAAGAACAAAUGUGUAAGUAACUAUGCACGUCUUGACGGUACCUAAUCAGAAAGCCACGGCUAACUACGUG
rnacentral:rRNA from 1 species